GCCGGGCGUAGGUGGCGGCGCCUGCAGUCCCAGCUACUUGGGAGGCUGGAGGCAGGAGAAUGGCGUGAACCCGGGAGGCGGAGCUUGCAGUGAGCUGAGAUCUGGCCACUGCACUCCAGCCUGGGCAACAGAGCAAGGUCGUCUCAAAAAAGAAAAAACGUUUGUUUGUUUAUUUGAGAUGGAGUCUCGCUCUGUUGCCCAGGCUGGAGUGCAGAGGCAAGAUCUCGGCUCACUGCAACCUCCGCACCCCCGGGUUAAAGCGAUUCUCCUGCCUCAG
rnacentral:SRP_RNA from 1 species